GGUAUAAACUCCGACAGCAGCCGUCACCGGGGACAGAUGAGAGCAUCUCACAUUGGAAACUCCUUAAGGAGCUACAUCGGCCCCUCGUUCCUACCAGCUAUGAAGUUAUCUACUUCUUGUUUAUCUCAUCAAGGCUUUGACAUAUUGCCAUCAUGGAGGAAAGAAAUGAGCACUGUCUUUGAAAACGAAACAGAGAAGUCCAAGAUUUAUAGAAAGAAAACUGUAGCAUGGCAUGCAGAAUGUGCUGGAGAGAAGAGGGAUCCCCAUGGACAUGGGACCAGCUGGACUUUGAGGCCGUCUCCAGAGAGGGUCUGUAGGCUCCAUGUCACCUGUGCAGCUUCAUGGCAGGGGGCCUCUCAGGAGGCUGGUGGCUUACUGCCUUCGGGAGAUACAUCAGCUUCUGUCGGACACCAUGCCAGAAACAACAGGAGGUCAAAACCCCAGUAGAGCGGUGGACUUGUGCUGUAGCUCUCCUGGAGUAGGGAAGAACAGAUCUGACUCCAUAUUGCAUCUGUUUCUUUUAUUUUCACCUUUGGAUACCGUUGUUUCUGCUACAAUGAGUCACUGAAGGGAUGUGGCCUAUAAGCUUAAAUCAUACGUGACGGUCCACCUCAGGGAACCCUGCCUCCCCACCCGUGAAUGGCUACAGGAAGGAAGAAAUUAACGCCGCCCCCACCGCCUCCUACAGAGGCUGAUGGGAACCAGGAACGUUUGACUUUACUCCUUCCCCUUCGAGUAUAAAAGAAGCCUAAAUUCUAACUCGGGCAGAUAGUUUUUUGGGACAGGAGUCCACCAUUGUCUCUGCCAGCUUUCCAAGUCAAGCCACUGUUCCUUUGCCCCAGCAACUCUUGUCUUGAUUUAUCAGCCUGUCGUGCAGGGAGCAGUAGGAACUUGGACUUAGUAACACUCUGUCUAUCCAGGCACCUAUCCGAACAUGCAUCCAUCCAUCCUUCCAUUAUCUACCUUCCUCCAGAAAAAAGAGCAAUCUUGUAAAGACACAAAUAAUACUUUAAGAUAGCUAGGUAAAGUUAGUAAUAAGAAAAGGUAAAGUAAGUGUAGGAGGGUAAGCUGAAGCCAUGAGCGAGGCUGUCACACAUAAUACAUGCCUCUGUGUCCUAAGCACCUGCUAGGGAUAAGCCACAUCCUGGUUCUGAGCCUUCAAGCAGCCAAUGGGAAGGGAGAAACCCAAUAAUAUGAUCGUUCCCUUAACUCUUAAUAUCUGUAAGGUAAAAAUAAACCCGUUGCCAAGGAAAAGCA
rnacentral:lncRNA from 1 species